GACGAACGCUGGCGGUGUGCUUAACACAUGCAAGUCGAGCGAGAAGCCAGGGGGCUUGCCCUUGGUGGACAGCGGCGAACGGGUGAGUAACACGUGGGCAACCUGCCCCAGACACUGGGAUAAACUCCGGGAAACCGGGGCUAAUACCGGAUACUCCGAUCGGAUCACAUGUUCUGAUCGGGAAAGCUCCGACGGUCUGGGAUGGGCCCGCGGUCUAUCAGCUUGUUGGUGGGGUAAUGGCCCACCAAGGCGUCGACGGAUAGCUGGCGUGAGAGC
rnacentral:rRNA from 1 species